rfam:Escovopsis weberi scaffold00004, whole genome shotgun sequence.
UCUCCUGUAGUAUAGUGGAUAGUAUACAAGCUUGUCACGCUUGGGACCCGGGUUCAAUUCCCGGCGGGAGAG